rnacentral:rRNA from 1 species
UACGUAGGGAGCAAGCGUUGUUCGGAUUUACUGGGCGUAAAGGGCGCGUAGGCGGCAGAUCAAGUCGCUGUGAAAUCUCCGAGCUUAACUCGGAACUGUCAGCUGAUACUGUUUUGCUAGAGUGCGGAAGGGGCAAUCGGAAUUCUUGGUGUAGCGGUGAAAUGCGUAGAUAUCAGGAGGAACACCGGUGGCGAAGGCGGCAUCCUGGACCGGCAUUGACGCCUGAGGCGCGAAAGCUAGGGGAGCAAACGGG